rnacentral:lncRNA from 1 species
GUUGCAGCGGUUGGGUCAACCACUGCCAUAGACAGGGCAUGACAGUGGUUGUCCAACCACUGCUAUAGAAAAUUAUCACAGCGGUUGUCCAACCACUGUCAUAGCUUCUAUAACAGUGGUUGCCUAAUCACUUUCAUAGAUUUAUAGCAGCAGUUGUCCAACUGCUACUAAAGCUAAGCUAUUGCAGUGGUUGGACAACUGCUGUCGUAUUGGCAAUAGUAGCGGUUGUCCAACCAUGGCCAUAUGGUAGGGACUUGAGAGAGAGAGAGAGAG